CUUGGUCAUUUAGAGGAAGUAAAAGUCGUAACAAGGUUUCCGUAGGUGAACCUGCGGAAGGAUCAUUAACGUAUCUCCGACGGGGUGCGGUGAGCCCUGCUCCGGCCAAACGGCCGUGCAGCGGGUUCUCCGUCACCGUCACCACCUUUACAAACCCACUGUGAACCUUCACGGCGGACGGGAGGCGACUCCCCGAGGCCGCAUACCAAACUACAGUCGCAAAGAAUGUCGUGCGGACUUUGCGCCGCCUAGAACACGAAACAACUUUCAACAACGGAUCUCUUGGCUCUCGCAUCGAUGAAGAACGCAGCGAAAUGCGAUAAGUAAUGUGAAUUGCAGAAUUCAGUGAAUCAUCGAAUCUUUGAACGCACCUUGCGCUCCUUGGUAUUCCGAGGAGCAUGCCUGUUUGAGUGUCUUGAAGUCAUCAACCCCUUCCGCUUUGCGGGGGGCGGUUGGAUGUGGGGGCCCUGCUGCCGUGAGGCGGCUCCCCUCAAAUGCAUCGGUUGGGCCUGCGGGUCGAACUCGACUGGGCGUUGUACCAUCCUCGCUCGACAGAGACGCUCCCCUUCUGCGCCCUCCCUCGACCUGCCGUCAGAGCGGCGGUCAAGCAAACAAACUUUGAAAUCUGACCUCAAAUCAGGUAGGACUACCCGCUGAACUUAAGCAUAUCAAUAAGCGGAGGAAAU
rnacentral:rRNA from 1 species